GACGAACGCUGGCGGCGUGCUUAACACAUGCAAGUCGAACGGAAAGGCCCUGCUUGCAGGGUACUCGAGUGGCGAACGGGUGAGUAACACGUGGGUGAUCUGCCCUGCACUUCGGGAUAAGCCUGGGAAACUGGGUCUAAUACCGGAUAGGAGCCAUUUUUAGUGUGAUGGUUGGAAAGUUUUUUCGGUGUAGGAUGAGCUCGCGGCCUAUCAGCUUGUUGGUGGGGUAAUGGCCUACCAAGGCGGCGACGGGUAGCCGGCCUGAGAGGGUGGACGGCCACAUUGGGACUGAGAUACGGCCCAGACUCCUACGGGAGGCAGCAGUGGGGAAUAUUGCACAAGGGGCGCAAGCCUGAUGCAGCGACGCCGCGUGGGGGAUGACGGCCUUCGGGUUGUAAACUCCUUUCGCUAGGGACGAAGCUUUUUGUGACGGUACCUAGAUAAGAAGCACUGGCUAACUACGUG
rnacentral:rRNA from 1 species